UACAGAGGUCUCAAGCGUUGUUCGGAUUCAUUGGGCGUAAAGGGUGCGUAGGCGGCGCGGUAAGUCGGGUGUGAAAUCUUGGAGCUUAACUCCGAAACUGCAUUCGAUACUGCCGUGCUUGAGGACUGGAGAGGAGACUGGAAUUUACGGUGUAGCGGUGAAAUGCGUAGAUAUCGUAAGGAAGACCAGUGGCGAAGGCGGGUCUCUGGAACGCAACUGACGCUGAAGACGCGAAAGCGUGGGGAGCAAACAGG
rnacentral:rRNA from 1 species